UCAAUUGUUAGGUUCUCAUCUACGCUUAAAGCUUUUAUCGUUUAACUCAUUCGAUAAUUGUUGUUUGUCUUUAUUGAUACAGAACGUACAGUACUGUCAUGAACUGGUGAGAAAUUCCUUGAUUAAGCAAUACCACCUAGGGAUAGGGGGGUAGGACGAUAAUUUGUUUUUGCUUCUGUUCUUAACACGUUAUUAAUUACUAGGGGAGGCUAGGGAUAGCAAGCCAGUAAUUAGUAAUAGGCUCUUUUCACCGAGGGAUCGGGUUAAGGGUAGACUAAGAAAGUUUGCAUGACAAUUAGAUAGUAAAGCAAAUUAAAUAAGAGGAGUAGAUAAGAGAGAGCGGAUAAGAUGAAUUUGUAAACCCCCCAACAACUCCAUUCAUCCAUAGUCUUUUUCUCGUUAAUUGAAUCAACAACAUUUGCAUGUUUAUUUUGUGCUUUUGCAUUCCCACCAAUUAAUUUUCUUUACAAGUCUUA
rnacentral:lncRNA from 1 species